UACAGAGGGUGCAAACGUUGUUCGGAAUCACUGGGCGUAAAGCGGGUGUAGGCGGCUUGGUAAGUCGGAUGUGAAAUCCCAGGGCUCAACCCUGGACGUGCACUCGAAACUACCGAGCUUGAGUUCUGGAGAGGAAGGCGGAAUGCUUGGUGUAGAGGUGAAAUUCGUAGAUAUCAAGCGGAACACCGGUGGCGAAGGCGGCCUUCUGGACAGUGACUGACGCUGAGACCCGAAAGCGUGGGGAGCAAACAGG
rnacentral:rRNA from 1 species